rnacentral:rRNA from 1 species
CCCAGACAGCCAGGAUGUUGGCUUAGAAGCAGCCAUCAUUUAAAGAAAGCGUAAUAGCUCACUGGUCGAGUCGGCCUGCGCGGAAGAUGUAACGGGGCUAAACCAUGCACCGAAGCUGCGGCAGCGACACUGUGUGUUGUUGGGUAGGGGAGCGUUCUGUAAGCCUGUGAAGGUGUGUCGUGAGGCAUGCUGGAGGUAUCAGAAGUGCGAAUGCUGACAUAAGUAACGAUAAAGCGGGUGAAAAGCCCGCUCGCCGGAAGACCAAGGGUUCCUGUCCAACGUUAAUCGGGGCAGG